UACGUAGGCAGCGAGCGUUGUUCGGAGUUACUGGGCGUAAAGGGUGUGUAGGCGGUUCUUUAAGUUUGGUGUGAAAUCUCCCGGCUCAACCGGGAGGGUGCGCCGAAUACUGAGGGACUAGAGUACGGGAGAGGAAAGUGGAAUUCCUGGUGUAGCGGUGAAAUGCGUAGAUAUCGCUUGGAACGCCGAAGGUGAAAACAGGCUGCUGGGGUUGCGCCGACGCUGAGACACGAAAGCCAGGGGAGCAAACGGG
rnacentral:rRNA from 1 species